rnacentral:rRNA from 1 species
GACGAACGCUGGCGGCGCGCCUAACACAUGCAAGUCGAGCGAGAACCAGGGCUUCGGCCCUGGGGACAGCGGCGAACGGGUGAGUAACACGUGGAUAACCUGCCCUCGGCACCGGAAUAGCCCGGGGAAACCCGGAUUAAUGCCGGAUGGCCCCACAUCCCUGCGGGGAACGUGGGAAAAGGUAGCUUCGGCCUCUGGCCGAGGAUGGGUCCGCGGUGGAUUAGCUUGUUGGUGGGGUAAUGGCCCACCAAGGCGACGAUCCAUAGCUGGUCUGAGAGGACGAUCAGCCACACUGGGACUGAGACACGGCCCAGACUCCUACGGGAGGCAGCAGUGGGGAAUCUUGCGCAAUGGGCGAAAGCCUGACGCAGCGACGCCGCGUGCGGGAAGAAGGCCUUCGGGUUGUAAACCGCUUUCAGGAGGGACGAAGCCACUCGGGUGAACAGCCCAGAGGGUGACGGUACCUCCAGAAGAAGCCCCGGCUAACUACGUGCCAGCAGCCGCAGUAACAC